GCGGGUGUAGUUCAAUGGUAGAACUUCAGCUUCCCAAGCUGACGGCGCGGGUUCGAUUCCCGUCACCCGCU
rnacentral:tRNA from 3 species